AAUCCAUUCAGAUCUGUUUCG
rnacentral:miRNA from 1 species